rnacentral:rRNA from 1 species
AACGAACGCUGGCGGCAUGCCUAACACAUGCAAGUCGAACGAUCCCUCCGGGGAUAGUGGCGCACGGGUGCGUAACGCGUGGGAACUUGCCCUUAGGUUCGGAAUAACUCAGAGAAAUUUGAGCUAAUACCGGAUAAUGUCUUCGGACCAAAGAUUUAUCGCCUUUGGAUGGGCCCGCGUUGGAUUAGCUGGUUGGUGGGGUAAAGGCCUACCAAGGCGACGAUCCAUAGCUGGUCUGAGAGGAUGAUCAGCCACACUGGGACUGAGGCACGGCCCAGACUCCUACGGGAGGCAGCAGUGGUGAAUAUUGGACAAUGGGCGAAAGCCUGAUCCAGCAAUGGCGCGUGAGUUAUGAAGGCCUUAGGGUUGUAAAGCUCUUUUACCCGGGGUGAUAAUGACAGUACCGGGAGAAUAAGCCCCGGCUAACUCCGUG